UACGGAGGAUCCAAGCGUUAUCCGGAUUUAUUGGGUUUAAAGGGUGCGUAGGCGGCCUAUUAAGUCAGGGGUGAAAGACGGUAGCUUAACUAUCGCAGUGCCUUUGAUACUGAUGGGCUUGAAUGGACUAGAGGUAGGCGGAAUGUGACAAGUAGCGGUGAAAUGCAUAGAUAUGUCACAGAACACCAAUUGCGAAGGCAGCUUACUAUGGUUUAAUUGACGCUGAGGCACGAAAGCGUGGGGAGCAAACAGG
rnacentral:rRNA from 1 species